rnacentral:rRNA from 1 species
ACGGAAGGCAGCAGUGGGGAAUAUUGGGCAAUGGGCGCAAGCCUGACCCAGCAAUGCCGCGUGAAGGAAGAAGGCUUUCGGGUUGUAAACUUCUUUAAGAGGGACGAUAAUGACGGUACCUCUUGAAUAAGCUCCGGCUAACUACGUGCCAGCAGCCGCGGUAAUACGUAGGGAGCAAGCGUUAUCCGGAUUUACUGGGUGUAAAGGGCGUGUAGGCGGGACUGCAGGUCAGAUGUGAAAGCACAGGGCUCAACUCUGUGUCUGCAUUUGAAACUGUAGUUCUUGAGUGCUGGAGAGGCUAACGGAAUUCCUAGUGUAGCGGUGAAAUGCGUAGAUAUUAGGAGGAACACCAGUGGCGAAGGCGGUUAGCUGGACAGUAAUUGACGCUGAGGCGCGAAAGCGUGGGUAGCAAACAGGAGUAGAUACCCUGGUA